CCAAUGCGGAUUUAGGGAAUUAAGAAAGUUCACAGGUGUGCCGGUUUCAGAUUGGAGAAAAAUUUUGUGAAACUAUACAGAAACUAGUUGCAGCUGGAUUAAACCUGUCGAGUACUAAAUUUAUUGGAUUCUCGUUGGGAGCUCCACUGUUCGGAUACACUGGAAGAAAAUGCAAAGAACUUAAAAUCAUUCUGCCCAUCAUUUUCGGCUUGGACCCAAUAAGGGCAUUUCACGGAGACGGGAUCCUGAGCUUCCCUCAACUGUGUAGCUCAGCCGCGGCUUUGGUCGUCAAUAUCCACACAAACCCUGGAAGAAUAGGAACGUCUCAGACCUGUGCCGACAUAGAUGUAAUGGUGAACUGUGAUGACCCCGUACAACCCUGGUGUCAUGAUGCUAGUGGCUCGACUGGAGGCUCAACAUUUAGGUCACAAGAAGACAUGUGCAGCCAUGAUUUCUCCCAUGUUAUGUUCGGCAUAGUGAUGCAGGAUAACCAACUGAUGAUAGCCCGGUCCGCUAAUUCGUGUGAAUGUUGGACUAACCAAGGGCCAACAAUCAACUUGGGAAUCCAUAUUGAUACAGAAGUACGAGGAAAAGUCUUCUUGAGGACAAGUGGAGUGUCUCCUUAUGGGCUUGGAGCAGCCGGUGCCAAUCCGAACUAAAACAAAUGUGAUCAUUAUUGUCACUAUGAUGUGUCAUAUAUAUACAGGGUGCUCGGGAAUAUUUCCCAUAACUCUGAGAUUAUAUUCUUUACCGAAAAAUAAUUAAAAAUGUUCAAGGAACAUGUGGCUUAGAAUUAAUAUUUUCGGGGUAAAAAAUAUUUCUUUUGUAAAUAGAUCUUAAAAUGACCCUUAUACACAUCCUUAUAAUUAUGGCGUAGUCAAGAUUCACGUAUAUUAAAAUGUAAGGAUAGAUAAAACGUGUGUUACAUGGAUAGUAAGAAUUAUUUGAAUUACUUGUAUGAAAACAUAAAAAAAAAAUAUUUUACAGUAAAAAUAUAUGUCAGUUCGGCUCCUAUAAGUGGACCAUUAUCAACACCUUGAAGUUAUGGGAAAUACUCCCGAGCACCCUGUAUAUAUUUUUUUUGUUAUUUGGGCCCCUUUUGGACUAGAAAUGAGGCAAUACUUAUAGAAAUUACGUAAUUCAACAAAACU